rnacentral:rRNA from 1 species
AUGGCGCCGGAGACGAGGAGCAGGAGGACGAGGGACCCGCGCGCAUCGGAGACCGCGCCGCCGCCGCCGCCGGUGCAGCGCCCUCGGCUCACGCGCGCCGGAAGCAGGGGGGACGCGCCGACCCGCCGCCGCUCCGGUCAGGUUAAUGAGGAUGUCGUGAGCAGAUUCCCGCAUUUGGCAAGUUCGGUACAAAAUGAUGUUACGCAGUUAAAGGAGGCGACUGGAGAGGACGAGGGGGGCGCGCACAUCCAAGACCUUGUUGCCGUCGUUCCGCGGAUGACGAGGAGGAGGGCGAGGGAGGCAUGUGCAUCGGAGACCGCAUUGCCGUCGUUGCAGCGCGCUCGACUCACGCGUGGCGGAAGCAGGGGGGAGGCGCCGACCAGUGGCCGCUCCGGUAAGGUUAAUGAGGAUGUCGAGAGCAGAUUCCAGCAUUUGGCAAGUUCAGUACAAAAUGAUGGUAUGCAGUUAAACAGAGCCAUGGAGGCAUCGCUGGAUUGUAAGGUUAAUGAGGAUGCCGAGAGCAGAUUCCAGCAUUUGGCAAGUUCACUACAAAAUGAUGAUAUGUCUGGAAACAACUACGCCGCAGCCUCUUCUUCGCAGAUGCUAAACGUGGGUGAUGAAGCUGUGGAACUGUCGUCACGUCAUGACGGUCCCAACAUCUUGGGCACAUACAAGGAUGGGCAGAACAACUACACAUCCACUGGUCAUGACGAGUCCGGCACCGCCACAAAUCCUGAAGAUGCGACCGAUCGCGAUGAAGGGACCGGCCAAGGGGACCAGGCAGCUGGACAACCCAAAAGGCAACGUAAGCCUAGGCGCCGAAACAUGCUCGGCACUAAUAGGAUUGUUAUCAACCGAGUGUCUGAGGAGGGUCUACCUGUUAGUCCCAAGAAGGCCGAACAAGGUUACAGGAAUGCCCUAGGCUGCAUCCUUCGCGAAACUGUGAGCAUUAAUGAAACCAAUCUCAGGUCGAAAGCGAACGAGAAUUUGCGAGCGCUCCUCAUAUCGAAGCUGCACACUCAUUACAAGUUCCCGGAUGAGUCCCUAGACGAGACCACUCCGGUAAAUAACAGAGCCCUCUGCAAGUGGUCCAAGCUUUUGAGUAGUUGGAAAUCCAAGGCCAAAAGCGAAUACCUUAAGAAAGAUUACGAAACUGAGAUAAAAAAGAUCUGGCCUUUGGUUUCCGAGGAGGACUGGAACCUGUUCAAGCAGCACUGUGAGACCCCUGAAGUCAAGGAGAUGGAAAAAUGGGGAAAGGAUAUGUGGGCUAAGAGCAUUGGUAACCGCACCCUUGGCAGCCGUGGUUACCCAGGGAAGAAGCCAAAGUGGGACAAGCAGGACACUGAGUUCGGUGCAGCUGGCAACUAUCCUGUCAUGGUGCCAGAGACGAGUAGGAGGGUGCACGCAUCGGAGACCGCGUUGCCCUCGGCGCAGCACCCUCGACUCACGCGCGCUGGAAGCAGGGUGGAUGCACCGACCAGUGGCCGCUCCGGUCAGGUUAAUGAGGAUGUCGAGAGCAGAUUCCAGCAUUUGGCAGGUUCAGUACAAAAUGAUGUUAUGCAGUUAAAGGCAGCGACCGGAGAGGACGAGGGAGAUAUUUCUGGAAACGACUCCGCUGCAGCCUCUUCUUCGCGGACGAUAAGCGCGGGUGAUGAAGCUGUAGAACCGUCAUCACGUCAUGGCGGCCCCGACGCCUUGGGCACAUACACAGAUGGGCAGGACGACUACACAUCCACUGUUCAUGAUGAGUCCGGCACCGCCACAAAUCCUGAAGAUGCAACCGAUCGCGACGAAGGGACCGGCCAAGGGGACCAGGCAGCUGGACAACCUAAAAAGCAACGCAAACCUAGGCGCCCAAACAUGCUUGGCACCGAUAGGAUUGUUAUCAACCGAGUGUCUGAGGCUGGUCUACCUCUUAGUCCCAAGAAGGCUGAACAAGGUUACAGUAAUGGCCUAGGCUGCAUCCUUCGCGAAACCGUGAGCAUUAAUGAAACCAAUCUCAGGUCGAAAGCCAAUGAGAAUUUGCGAGCACUCCUCAUAUCGAAGCUGCACACUCAUUACAAGUUCCCGGAUGAGUCCCUAGACGAGACCACUCCGGUAAAUAACACAGCCCUCUGCAAGUGGACCAAGCUUUUGAGUAGUUGGAAAUCCAAAGCCAAAAGCGAAUACCUUGAGAAAGAUUACGAAACCGAGAUAAAAAAGAAGUGGCCUUCGGUUUCUGAGGAGGACUGGAACCUGUUCAAGCAGCACUGCGAGACCCCUGAAGUCAAGGAGAUGGAGAAAUGGGGGAAGGAAAUGCGGGCAAGGAACAUUGGUCACCACACCCUUGGAAGCCGUGGUUACCCAGGGAAGAAGCCGAAGUGGGACAAGCAGGACGCUGAGUUUGCUGCAGCAGGCAUACCAAACCCCUUCAAGGAAUUUGAAAACCCGCGUGAAAAUGAUUACAUCAGGGGCCGGUGCAAAUACGAUGAAGAGACUAAGACAUGGGUAUUGGACGAGAAGACGGCGAAAGUCAAGGAACUCCUGAGGCAGUAUCAUGUGGAAUCUCAAAGCUCCCAGGAGUCGGAGUCCUCGGCAAGGUGGGACGACCCUCUGAACAGGUCGAUCAACGUGGUGCUCGGCAAGGACCCGAAAACGAGGCCGGCUUAUGGUCGUGUGAACGGCGUCGGGCUGAAUGAAAAAUGGGACACGCAUUAUCCCGAAGACCGCGAGCUUGCGAGGCAGAGAAGGAGAGCCGGCCGAGCUAGUUUUGAAUCCAGAUUGGCUGGAAUGAGAGAAGAACUUAAAGAAGAAAUGAGAGAGGAAGUCGAGGUGAAAGCCAAAGCCAUGGCGACAGCACAAGUCAUGGAAAUGUGGCCCGAUCUAAUUGAGGCCGUCAAGCGAAGUUUAGCAUCGGGGCAAACAGCGCCACCAUCAUCCUCUGUCACGUUGGCGCCGGCCAAUGUCAUUUUGGAGAAAGAGCCGCGUCCUGGUGCACAUCAUAGCAGCCGCUCUGCCCCUUUCAUGGGCUAG